rnacentral:misc_RNA from 1 species
UUAAAUGUCACAAUAGGGGCAGGCCACCAAGACAUUUAGGAAGUUUAAAAGCCUGAGAAAAGUGGUUUUAUGUAGAAUUUUAUGUUCCAACUGCAGGGACUUCUCUCAACCAAAGCUAAAGUGAAGUCGUUUGGUCAGGGUUGGAUAAUUUUAGAGGAUGUGUGCUGUGUGUAAUCGCGCCUUCAGUGAUCCGACAUUCGUUCGAUACCCGAAUGGAGUUGUGACUCAUGUCCAUUGUGCAAAAAACCGACAUGUCUGCCCCGUGACUGGGAAACUCUUCAGCACAAAACAAUCUUGAUGACAGAAAGAGGAAAACAAAACUGUUCUAACCGCAUAAAACAGCAGUCCAGCAAUUCAAAUAUCUCCAUCACCAGAGAGAGGGGGAUGGCAUUAUGUCACGUACGAGAGAGCACCGCUUGUUAUAAGGGAAGGGUUCAUGCUUAGCAUGGAGGCUGACUGGUUUUUUUAUUUUGUUCUUAAAGAAAAUGCAAUAAUUUGUUGAAUUUUUAAUUAGGAACAGUGCUAGCUAGAUCCAAAAACACUGGUUGUUUCUGAUUUGGAGUUUUGUAUGUAUAAAGAAUAUUAAUGUGUCCCAGAAUUGUCUUGGAAGGAUCGAGUUUCAGUGUAACAGUUUACCCAUUUGUUUAGAAUUAAGAUAAUUCAAUAAAAAUAUUUCUCAUACUCUUUUAACACGUAUGUAUAUAAUUAUUCUAAAAGUUUAUACAUAUACUGAAAAAAAAAGAAAUGAUUAAGUGUACAACAUACUGUAAGAUACCGGUAGAAAUGAUAGCGAUUGGAUGCUACAGAAAUCUCCAUUUUUCUCUUUUCUUUCAUUCAUAAUUAUACUAGUCCAUAUACAUGUAUAUUGAUAUACAUGUAUACAUGUAUUAUAUCACUGAUCAUAUUAUUUCAUGAUAUGUCUUGCUGAAUAAUGCUGAAUUAUUCAUCCAUCACAUAAAAGAUUUUUGUGAGCACAUUUUGUGAUGAAUGUUUCUUUCAACUUUAUUUUCAAGAGAUUAUGUAGCAAACAUUUCAACUAUGUUUAUGGCAUUUUGAAUGAUGUGCAUAUUAGUAUUAUGUAAUAUGUAGGUUGUUUUAUUAUUACUAUGUGAUCGAAGAUUGUCAGUUGUUUUAUUUGAUAAACAUGUCAUAAUUUUAACUAUGCCUUUAUACAAAUGCUGCCUAUAAAUACAAGAAAUAAAAACAAAAUGCAUCAU